rnacentral:rRNA from 1 species
GACGAACGCUGGCGGCAUGCCUAAUACAUGCAAGUCGAGCGAACAGAUGAAGUGCUUGCACUUCUGACGUUAGCGGCGAACGGGUGAGUAACACGUAAGGAAUCUACCUAUAAGCGGGGGACAACAGUUGGAAACGACUGCUAAUACCCCAUAAGCCGAGAGGUAAAAGGAGCGAUCCGGCAGAGGAGGUACUCGCGUCCUAUCAGCUAGUAGGUGAGGUAACGGCUCACCUAGGCGAAGACGGGUAGCCGGCCUGAGAGGGCGAACGGCCACACUGGAACUGAGAUACGGUCCAGACUCCUACGGGAGGCAGCAGUGGGGAAUAUUGGGCAAUGGGGGCAACCCUGACCCAGCGACGCCGCGUGGGUGAAGAAAUCCCUCGGGAUGUAAAGCCCUGUUGUAUGGGAAGAGCAGAAGACGGUACCAUACGAGGAAGCCCCGGCAAACUACGUGCCAGCAGCCGCAGUAA